rnacentral:snRNA from 1 species
GCACCCUUCGGGGUUGCACACGAUAAAAUUGGAACGAUACAGAGAAGAAGUUGGUUUCUACCGCCACGGCCAAUGAACCGCUUAGUAAUGUUUUUCCCACACCACCUAUAGCCUGCUAAUUACAUAAUCACACUGAUUAGCAUGGCCCCUGCACAAGGAUGACACGCUUUUCCGGAGUGGUAGACCUAU